GCCGAGGUAGCUCAGUGGUAGAGCAGUGGACUGAAAAUCCUCGUGUCGGUGGUUCGACUCCGCCCCUCGGCA
rnacentral:tRNA from 1 species